AGAACGAACGCUGGCGGCAUGCCUAAUACAUGCAAGUCGAACGAACUCUUCGGAGUUAGUGGCGCACGGGUGCGUAACGCGUGGGAAUCUGCCCCUUGGUUCGGAAUAACAGUUGGAAACGACUGCUAAUACCGGAUGAUGACGAAAGUCCAAAGAUUUAUCGCCAAGGGAUGAGCCCGCGUAGGAUUAGCUAGUUGGUGAGGUAAAGGCUCACCAAGGCAACGAUCCUUAGCUGGUCUGAGAGGAUGAUCAGCCACACUGGGACUGAGACACGGCCCAGACUCCUACGGGAGGCAGCAGUAGGGAAUAUUGGACAAUGGGCGAAAGCCUGAUCCAGCAAUGCCGCGUGAGUGAUGAAGGCCUUAGGUUGUAAAGCUCUUUUACCCGAGAUGAUAAUGACAGUAUCGGAGAAUAAGCCCCGGCUAACUCCGUGCCAGCAGCCGAC
rnacentral:rRNA from 1 species